rnacentral:rRNA from 1 species
AGAGUUUGAUCCUGGCUCAGGAUAAACGCUGGCGGCAUGCCUAAUACAUGCAAGUCGAACGGGGGUGCUUGCACCCCAGUGGCGAACGGGUGAGUAACACGUAUUCAAUCUACCUUGAAGUGGGGGAUAACCUUUGGAAACGAAGGAUAAUACCGCAUGACAACUUCAUUAUGGCAUCAGAAGAAGUUGAAAGAUCCGUUUGGAUCGCUUUAAGAUGAGGACGCGGCGUAUUAGCUAGUAGGUGAGAUAAUAGCCCACCUAGGCAAUGAUACGUAGCCGAACUGAGAGGUUGAUCGGCCACAUUGGGACUGAGAUACGGCCCAGACUCCUACGGGAGGCAGCAGUAGGGAAUUUUUCACAAUGGACGAAAGUCUGAUGAAGCAAUGCCGCGUGAGUGAUGACGGUCUUCGGAUUGUAAAGCUCUGUUGUAAGGGAAGAAAAUUUGGAAGAGGAAAUGCUUUCGAACUUGACGGUACCUUACCAGAAAGCCACGGCUA